rnacentral:rRNA from 1 species
AUGAAGAUGGCGACUUGCAUUCGUAAGGUGGCCUCGGAGGAGUUUGGAGUGUCCAGGGGAAGGAGAAGCGAACAUAAGGAUACCUGGUGGUGGAAUGAUGGUGUCCAGAAGGCGCUUAAAGAGAAGAAAGAUUGCUUCAGACGCCUAUACCUGGAUAGGAGUGUAGACAACAUAGAGAAGUACAAGAUGGCGAAGAAGGCCGCAAAGCGAGCUGUUGGUGAAGCAAGGGGUCGGGCAUAUGAGGACCUCUACCAACGGUUAGGCACGAAGGAAGGUGAAAGGGACAUCUAUAAGAUGGCUAAGAUCCGGGAGAGGAAGACGAGGGAUAUUGGCCAAGUCAAAUGCAUCAAGGACGGAGCAGGCCAACUCUUGGUGAAGGACGAAGAGAUUAAGCAUAGAUGGCGGGAGUACUUCGACAAGCUGUUCAAUGGGGAGAAUGAGAGUUCUACCAUUGAACUGAAUGACUCCUUUGAUGAGACCAGCAUGCAUUUUGUGCGGUGCAUCCAGGAGUCUGAGGUGAAGGAGGCUUUAAAAAGGAUGAAAGGAGGCAAGGCGAUGGGCCCUGAUUGUAUCCCCAUAGAGGUGUGGAAAGAUCUCGGGGACAUAGCGAUAGUAUGGCUAACCAAGCUUUUCAACCUCAUUUUUCGGGCAAACAAGAUGCCAGAAGAAUGGAGACGGAGUAUAUUAGUACCAAUCUUCAAGAACAAGGGGGAUGUUCAGAGUUGUACUAAUUACCGUGGAAUUAAGCUGAUGAGCCAUACAAUGAAGCUAUGGGAGAGAGUCAUUGAGCACCGCUUAAGAAGAAUGACAAGCGUGACCAAAAAUCAGUUUGGUUUCAUGCCUGGGAGGUCGACCAUGGAAGCCAUUUUCUUGGUACGACAACUUAUGGAGAGAUAUAGGGAGCAUAAGAAGGACUUGCAUAUGGUAUUCAUUGACUUGGAGAAGGCCUAUGAUAAGAUACCAUGGAAUGUCAUGUGGUGGGCCUUGGAGAAACACAAAGCCCCAGCAAAGUACAUUACCCUCAUCAAGGACAUGUACAAUAAUGUUGUGACAAGUGUUCGAACAAGUGAUGUCGACACCGAUGACUUCCCGAUUAAGAUAGGACUGCAUCAGGGGUCAGCUUUGAGCCCUUAUCUUUUUGCAUUGGUGAUGGAUGAGGUCACAAGGGGUAUACAAGGAGAUAUCCCAUGGUGUAUGCUCUUUGCGGAUGAUGUGGUGCUAGUUGACGAUAGUCAGACGGGGGUAAAUAGGAAGUUAGAGUUAUGGAGACAAACCUUGGAAUCGAAAGGGUUUAGGCUUAGUAGAACUAAAACCGAGUACAUGAUGUGCGGUUUCAGUACUACUAGCUGUGGGGAGGAGGAGGUUAGCCUUGAUGGCCAGGUGGUACCUCGGAAGGACACCUUUCGGUAUUUGGGGUCAAUGUUGCAGGAGGAUGGGGGUAUUGAUGAAGAUGUGAACCAUCGAAUCAAAGCCGGAUGGAUGAAGUGGCGCCAAGCUUCUGGCAUUCUCUGUGACAAGAGAGUGCCACAAAAGCUAAAAGGCAAGUUCUACAGGACGGCGGUUCGACUCGCAAUGUUGUAUGGCGCGGAGUGUUAG